AUGCAAAGCCACUGCCAACAUAAUCACGAGCUGCUGUGUGGAGUCUUAAGUACCUCAUGGAAAAAUAACUCUGAAUUGGAAUUCUUCCCAAAAGCCAGCUUCGUUAAUGCUUUGACAACUGAGGGCAAUCUGAAUAUGUCUUUGCUCCUUUACUACUGGAACCUACCUAAGGAAUUACUGAUCUUUCCUGAUCCAAAGUAUCUCAGGGCCCCAUGGGCUACCAGGAUGGCUCUCUCUUCUGGAGUGGCAAGCGCUGAGAUUUCUGCUUUGUCUUGGGGUAGGGAUGGCUCCUCAAUACAAGAAUCAAGGAAGGUGAAAGGCAGCUUUAAAACUUGCUUAAUUAUUGUACUUACAUCUGGAAAAUGUCUCUCACUUGGAAGGAGGAAAAGGAAAAUAAUCUUUAACCAGAUUAAAACUGAUUCUGAAUAAUUAUCUUCAGGACUUGAUCUAUCUAUAUCAUCAACCUGCAUAAAUCAACAUUUUCCUUAUUCUCAACUUCCCAAGUUUAAUCAUUCAGUAUUGUUUAGCUGUUGGGGUGGUGGUGGUCUAUGUGUGUGUGUGUGUGUGUGUGUGUGUGUGUGUGUGUGAAUUAACACAAUAAUCAUGUUAAAUCACUCCUUAAGUCUCAAGAUUGCACAGACACAACCUUCUUAAAUGACAUGUACGUUCUACUUAUAAAUUUUAAAUACUUUAUUAGUAAUGUGUCUUCUUAUUCUAGAUUAAGGAAUUGCCCCUUCCUUCAUGGUAACAUUGUUAGACUGCACAAAUUCAGUCAGUGUAGUAAGAACAGCAACAGUCUUUUAAAACCUAUGUACCCGAACAUCCGAUUAAGAUCAGUAGUUUAAUAGUCAAUUAAAAUUUUUGUAACUGCCCUAAUGUAAAUGUCUGUUGCUGCUCAUAUUGUCUUCUCAGCUUGAUUUUGAACUUUUUAUAUAUUGGAGUUUGAAUUAAUCUUUCAUAAAAAUUUUCUUAAGAAUUGGAAAUUUGGGGGCGCCUGGGUGGCUCAGUCAAUUGAACACUGACUCUUGAUUUUGGCUCAGGUCAAGAUUUUGUGGGUUGUAGAAUCAAGUCCUGCAUCAGGCUCCUUGCUCAGUGGGGAAUCUGCUUGCCCCUGUCCCGCCCCCUCUGCCCAUCCCCUUGUGAAUGUGCUCUCUUUUUCUCAAAUAAGUAAAUAAAUAAAAUCUUUAAAAAAAUGAUUAGAAAUUUUACCAGACACAUUCAACCGAUGUUACUGGUUUCUUUGUGAUUGUGUUUGUAUACAUUUAAAAAUUACUCCCAAACUUUAAAGGUCAAAUGUGUGGGAAUUGAAUUGCUUCAGACCCACCAUACUUGGAGAAUGAGAUUGUAAAAGUUUCUAGAAAGUGGAAAAAUAAUUUUACUUCAACUCUUUCUUUGAGCUAUUCAUAUAUUUUUGCUACCCAUCUUGUAUCACAGAUUUGAACAGUCCAGAAUAUCAACCCUGUAUUAUCUCCCAUGCCACAAAGUGUUUACAAUUCUGCUUUGAGCUGACAUCUGUUACAAAGAGCACAUUACUUAC
rnacentral:lncRNA from 1 species